GUGGCAGAGUAUUGGAACGCGUGGUGGUGAGCCGCUCUAACACUACUUAGCGCCGGUGUGUCCUGCUGCCUCCCUCCUCCAGUGUCCAGUGCGCCGCUCGUGACUCCCGCCCUGCCCUAGAAAUGUGCUCUCGGUGUUUUUGAGUUGUCGCUUUAGUGUGUUAUCACCAUGACUAAAGAAAUGAACAAGGACGCCGAGGCUUACGAUCGGGAAUAUGAUGGAUUUCUGAAGCAGCUUGAGGAGUUUCAUCAGCAGAGAGGGACGCCAUUCAAGCGCCUACCACGUAUUAAUGGCAAGGGAGUGGAUCUGUAUCUUCUCUACGUGGUGGUGACGGCGCGCGGCGGCUGGCAGAAGGUCAAUGCCCGAUGUGAGUGGGAAGACAUUCUUGAGGACUUCCGUCUGCCAGCUGCCUGUGUCAACUCUGCCACAGCCUUGAAGCACAUCUACAUCAGAUACCUUGAUGCUUAUGAACGCGUUAAUUUCCUCGGGGAAGAUGGAGAGGAGCGCGGAGCAGAGAUGGACGAAGGAGAGGACUCCAGACUGAUGAGGACCAAGCGGGCCAUCAGGUCCCUCAACACUGUCCCGCUCGCUUACAACCACCAGCAGCACAAUGUUCUAGAAUCCAUGAGAGGCAGCGGAGGCAUGUCAGUUGAUCUGUACAGACCCUCAUUGUAUGACAAGCUGGCCCUCUCCUUGGUGUCCCCGUUGCCAAAUGAACAUGAUUUUGCCUUCAAUGUGUGCACCAUCCUGAGCAAUGAGGGUCGUCAUGUGCUCCAGCUAUCACACUGCCCCAUCCUGGUGGAACACAUGCUGGGACACACUGGAGUGUACAGAGAUUGGGAAACUCAAAAGUUUUUCCUGACCAAUUAUAAAGAAGCCAAAGGAAGAAGCCUUAUACAGUUCUGGAUAGAUUCAGUUCAUGACCGGAGUGUUUUGGACCUCCUCAUCCCCUCUGGCCUGGACCCCAAGUCAUCUGCAGCUGAGGGGAAUGGGGAGCUGAGAAGAUACAGUCUCGUGGACCUUUCUAGUGGUGCUAUAGAUAAUAAGAAUUUGCUAAAUUUGAGUAGUGAUAGUCUGGAGUUGUUUGAUGAUAAGGAAGAAGUUGACGAGGAUGACACGUGUGACAACGCCUUCCUGCGGGAUGGGUGUAUGGCGGGUGGCACAGCACUGAAAAUUGCUGGCAGAAUAAACAGUGCUAAUUUUGACAGUUUAGGUGAGCCUGACUAUAGGAGAAUUCCUCCGUUGGAGAUAAUUACACAAGCCCUCCGAAGAGAUCCCAUCCUGAGGCGACUAGAGAAGGUCUUGGAGUGUGAAGGCAGUGACCUGAAGUUAGCAAAAGAUGAUGGAGAAAUAUUUCAUCUAGGAAGAGACCUUGGAUCACAGGACCCAGAAGGGACAAGAAUAAGCCAAAUUCUUCAUGUUAUUCGUAAUUUAUCAUUUGAGGAGCACAACGUGGGCAUUCUUGCAAGAUCCCACACCUGUCUAAAGUUUCUUGUCUUGUGCAUCUGUUCACGGUGGGGUGGGCUGGCUGUCAAUGCCUUGGACACACUGGGCAACAUAGCACCAGAGAUAACUCUUCAGGAACCAAAGCUGGACUCCUGCUCUGCCUUGUUCUUGUCCAAUAUCUGUCAUGGUGUGUCAUCACCCGACAGAGCAUUUGUCCUCAGGUCCCUUGAAAUCCUCAACAAGUUAGCCAUGAAUGAUCCCAAUGAGGAGAUCCUGAACCACUACAUAGACUCUUCGGUUUAUGAUCAGAUAUGUCGUUACCUGACAAUUCACGACAUCAUGCUGCUCAUAUACACCCUGGAGUGCCUGUAUUCUCUCUCCUCCCUUGGCACCCCGGCCUGCAAUGCCAUUGUGCGGGCCAAGGGCUCCAUCCACACCCUUAUCUCUCUGUUGACUGUAGAGGCACAAAGCUAUGGACCAGAGGCAUGCAUAGGAAUGAAGGUCGUGGAAACAGUAACAGGUGUUGUGAGUGAACCUGAACCUGUGAGUCAACCACCACCACCUCCCACCCCAGCUCCUGCCACAGUCCCAGUUACUACUGUAGGUGUGGCAGCUGUGACACCAGCCACGCCAGUAGUCGCCAUCAGUAAUCCUGUUGUCUCGGUGCCUGCAGGGUCCACUGUCACUCCUAAGACCCCCAUUGUUAAAUCUGUUUCCACUACGCCUGUAACUCCUGCACUUAGCUCGGAAGUUAGUGCUGGGCGAAUAGUUCCGCCUGAGGUGGAGGAGUUUGUCAAGGAUUGGGUCACUAAAAAUUAUGAGGCUGCCCCUGGUAAUGCCAUAGAACAGGCCAUUGUAUACCGUCACUUUGCAGCCUCCAUGCAGUCUUUGGGUCGCAAGCAAGGCCUCAACCCAGUGCUCUUAUCUAACUGUGUAAGGAAGGUGUUUGGGACUGGUGUUGGACCCAGCAGACGGCCAGUGGAUGCGGGCUCAGAGAAGUGGCACUACAAUGGCAUUCGACGGCGAGACGGCAUUGUGGUUCCUCCAUUGCCUGACAAGAAGAGGGGAAUGAGGGUCAACAAUUCCGUACCAGUUUACAGCCCGACGCCAGUUCUCCCUCCAGUAAACAGCAUCAGUGCCCAGGUGUCACGAAAUAUUCAAAAGCAGCAGCAGCAGCAGCAAACCACUGAUAACAGCCAAGAUAGUAGCAGUGAUUCUCAAGUUAGGAAAACAUCAUUUAAUGGAAUAUGUAAUGAGAUAAAGAAAUGUGAAGAGGACUCUAAUUCUCUACUUUCUAAUACUCUCAAUGAGAAGAAAGUAACAAGUUUUGAGGGGAUCUUACAAAAUGGUAUCAAAGCUGAAAUCGAUAUCAAGGAAGAGCAAGAACCUAAGGCCAAGAAGAACGUCUUAGCUGACCUCCUAGAAAAGACUGUUGGAGGAGACAUUUUGAAUGGGGUUGUGGAGCGCGAGUUAAGAAUUAGUGAUCGAAGCUUAGAGUUUGUUAACAAUGGCCAGCAAGUUAAAGUAAAUGGUCCUGUCACCAGUAAUGGACAGGCUGGAGCAGAAACUGGGCAAGGUGUGAAGAGGCCUGCCACUCCAGACAAUACUCCUGCCAAGAGGAUAGCCAUUGAGGACCCAAGAGCUGGGACAGAUAGUCGCAUCACAUUGUACGUUAGUCAAAAUGGAAAUGAGAGUGGGGAAGUGAUAUCUCAAGGACAUCAAGUGGUGCUGAGCCAAGGGCAGCAGCUGGCAACCACAAACACCACUGGACCCCAGCAGAUGGUAGUGAGCCAGGCUGUGUUGGCCGGGCAACAACAAGGAGCUGCCACACAGACUGUUGUCACCCCUCAAGGACAGGUGAUCCUCCAGCGGCCUGCCACUCAGACUGGAAUGAUUGUUCAGCAGGGUGGUCAGAUUAUUCAGGGGGCCACUGCUGGACAGGUUAUUCAACAAGUUAUACAGCAGGGACAGUCAGGACAGCCGCAGAAAGUCAUCUUACAUCAAGGACAAGUGUUGGGUGGCCAAAUGAUUCUCUCUCAAAACAGUAGUGGUCAGCACCAAGUACUAGUGCAGGGCGGGAAUAAUUUUCAGGGACAGGUGAUCAUGCAAGGUGUGCCGCACUGUCAGGGGCAAGUAUUUGUGCAAGGAAACAAUACUCCAGGUCAGUUGGUGAUGAGUAGUAAUCAAGGCCAGACAGUAGUGGUGUCUGGUGGCACUCAAGCACAGCAGCAAGUGGUAGUGUCGAGUGCUCAAGGCCAGGCCAUGAUAGUAGCUGGAAAUCAAGGUCAACCAGUGGUAGUAAGUGGACAGCAAGGUCAGAGUGGCCAAGUUGUGGUGCCUAGUAAUGUAAGUGGCACAGUACUGUUGGCUCCUCAGCAGCAAGGAUCCACAGCAAAGACCCUCAUUAUAUUGCCCAACCCUAAGAUGAUAGUGUCAGGGACUCAGCACCAGGGUGCUCAGGGCCAACAGUUGGUGCUACCCCGGCAGGUAGCUGGCCAGCAAGUUGUACAGGUGGUGUCCUCAACUACCACAGGACCAGUGGCUACUGUGUCAACUGCUGUGAGAACUGUGCAUGCCAGUGCCCCUGUAGCAGCAGAAACCUGUGCUACCCCUGCCCCUCCCACAGUCCAAAUUCAAACUUCUAGUAGUGGUAACAGCAGUGCCAGUGUAUCCACAUAUAGUGCUCAGAAUCCAACCACCCUAUCUACUGCCAUUGCUCCUGCCCCAGCUGGUCCCACAGCUGUUCCAGUGACACAGACUUCAGUGAGUCAGGGGCCUCAGACUCCCCAUAUCCCAGCCCCACAGGUGCUCUCCUCUGGUGUAGCAAGACGGCAGGGCAAACCCAGUGGUUUACAGUAUUUAUGUGAGUGGCGGGGAUGUAACCAGGUAUUCACCAGUGCAGCUCAAGUGUACCACCAUGCCUGCAAGAUCCACUGCCCUCCACACAUAGCAGAGAUCCAAUGCGGCUGGGCAGGCUGUGACCCCAUGGUGAGACGCCGGUUUAGUGCCAUGACUCACCUCCACGACCGGCACUGUAAUGAGCAGCUGCUUCAAAUUCUUGCUGUGAGACGAUCCCAGCUAGCCAGCACAGGCAAAACCGAAAUACCAGUCCCACAGACGCCACCUCCACACCCAGGUUAUGCCCCAAAUGCAGCCUUCCAUGCUAUCAAGAGGCAUGCCCUUGAGGUUAUUAAUCAGAGAGAUGCAGUGGAAAAAGAGGGACCGGUAACAAAAAGUAUCCGAUUGACUGCGGCGCUUAUCCUGAGGAACCUAGUCAUAUACUCCAAUACUGGAAAGAAGCUGUUGCGGGGAUACGAGUCAGAACUAGCCAACGUUGCCCUCAGCACAAUGGAAUCCUCACGAACGGUAGCGCAGAUCCUAUACGACAUCGGCCUUCCUGACCACCAGGGCUUAUAGGCAAACUUGAAUCCUUGCUGAGGACUCCUGAAGCAAUCCAACCUUCUUGGUAGCUGUAUGAGGGAUUCAAAACUAAGACUCCCCAGAACUCUUCCCUAGCAGAUGAAGAAGUGAACAAAAGGAGAGUUGGGACAUUUGGUAGCAUCCAGGCUGCAUCAGCCAUGUUGUGAAGUACAUAGGCAGGUACUUGAAACUGAGGGAAGGGGAAAAGAGCACCAGGCCUUACUGAAGAUGGUUUAGUCCACCCAACACUGCUGCUGCCAUGGUCUAAUCUGAUCUUUGUUAUUUAUUUAGUAAUUAACUUGCACUUAGAUGAGUUUGUGUGUGUAUGUGUGUGUGCUUGUGUGUGUGUGCAUGCAUGUGUACAUGUGUGUAUGUGUGUGUGUGUAAGUGAAGGGAAUGUUUUUGUACAUGGUGAUUGUCUCACAAGCUCCACAUCCCAGUGGUACCUUUGCAUCAUAUGACACAUGUUGGUGGGCACAAACUAUUAUACGUCCAAUCAGUCCUCCUUAGCCAGGUAAUACCUGACUAAUGGUUGUGUAUCUUCUCCAGCUCCCUGACAGGUGGUACCAAGUGCAGUGGGCAUGGUGGCAGUAGGCUCCUCUCUCCCACUUUCUUUACCAUUCCCAGUUGAACUUAUUCCUCCCUUCCCACCACCCACACCCAAACCAAUCUUUGUUUUUCUUUUUUUCCACCUUUACUGUUCAAACCACUGAUGCACUGAGCUGUGUCUUCUGUUACAACAACUCGCCAGACAUCAUUAUAAUUUUUUUAAUAAAAUAUUGUAAAUGUUA
rnacentral:misc_RNA from 1 species